AUGGUUUCUUCCACGCCAUACCUUGUCGUGCUCUUGUGCCUCGCGAGCCUCCUGCAGGCAUCGCUGACGGCGGGUUUUGAGCUGCCGGAAUCCGAGGUGAGAAGCAGGUUUUCCAAGUGGAUGACCAAGUACUCCAAGCGCUACUCAUGCCAUGAGGAGGAGGAGAAGCGGUUCGGAAUCUUCAAGCAGAACACCAACUCCAUCGGCGCAUUCGCCAGCCAGACCACGGUGAACGCCGUCGUGGGUGGGUUCGGGCCGCAGACCAUCACCACGGUCAGGGUGGGCAUGAACAGGUUCGGCGACCUCAACCCCAGCGAGGUCGUCGAGCAGUUCACCGGGUUCAACAACACCGCCUUCCGCACCCCCAAGCCCUCGCCCCUCCCCUACCACUCCUGGAAGCCGUGCUGCGUCGACUGGCGCUCCAGCGGCGCCGUCACCGGCGUCAAGUUUCAGGGCUCUUGCUUGUCAUGCUGGGCGUUCGCGGCCGUGGCGGCCAUCGAGGGCAUGAACAAGAUCAGGACCGGCGAGCUGGUGUCGCUGUCGGAGCAGCAGCUCGUGGACUGCGACACCGGGAGCAGCGGCUGCAGCGGUGGGCGCUCCGACACGGCGCUCGGCCUCGCGGCAGCCCGCGGCGGCCUCACGUCGGAGGCGAAGUACCCGUACAGCGGCAUCCAGGGCAGCUGUGACGUGGACAAGGUGCUGUUCGACAACCAGGCGUCCGUCAAGGGCAUCAAGGCCGUGCCGCCCAACGACGAGCAUCAGCUGGCGCUUGCCGUGGCGAUGCAGCCCGUGACGGUGUACAUCGACGCCAGCGCCUGGGAGUUUCAGUUCUACACCGGUGGCAUCUACCGCGGGCCUUGCUCCUCCGAGGCGACGAGGGUGAACCAUGCCGUCACCAUCGUCGGCUACUGCGAAGGCCCCGGCGACAACAACAAGUACUGGAUCGCCAAGAACUCGUGGAGCAACGACUGGGGUGACCAGGGCUACAUCUACCUCGCCAAGGACGUGUCAUGGCGGACGGGCACCUGCGGCCUCGCCACCUCGCCCUUCUACCCAACGGCUUGA
rnacentral:rRNA from 1 species